UACGUAGGCAGCGAGCGUUGUUCGGAGUUACUGGGCGUAAAGCGUGCGCAGGCGGUUGUGCAAGACAGAUGUGAAAUCCCCGGGCUUAACCUGGGAACUGCAUUUGUGACUGCACGACUAGAGUGUGUCAGAGGGGGGUAGAAUUCCACGUGUAGCAGUGAAAUGCGUAGAUAUGUGGAGGAAUACCGAUGGCGAAGGCAGCCCCCUGGGAUAACACUGACGCUCAUGCACGAAAGCGUGGGGAGCAAACAGG
rnacentral:rRNA from 1 species